rnacentral:rRNA from 1 species
UACGUAGGGUGCGAGCGUUAAUCGGAAUUACUGGGCGUAAAGCGUGCGCAGGCGGUGAUGUAAGACAGUUGUGAAAUCCCCGGGCUCAGCCUGGGAACUGCAUCUGUGACUGCAUCGCUGGAGUGCGGCAGAGGGGGAUGGAAUUCCGCGUGUAGCAGUGAAAUGCGUAGAUAUGCGGAGGAACACCGAUGGCGAAGGCAAUCCCCUGGGCCUGCACUGACGCUCAUGCACGAAAGCGUGGGGAGCAAACAGG